CUUGCGGGGGAGUUGCCCCGCAGAAUCCAGGCAUGUCGGUAACUGAGAACAGAAAGCAGAAUCUCUCUCUCUUUAGUCCUUCUGCUCACUUGUGGAUAACUUAAAACUAAAAGAUUGUGUUUUACUAAAAGUUAGCAUGCAAGAAAUUUUAAGAGUUUCCCAGAGAAUGAAUCUUUAUAUAAAAGCUUUAGUGAGUUGCCUUGGUUUUAGUCACAUUUUACCCCUGUAAAGAACUUCUGCCCAAAUUUCGUGUUCAGUCUUAGCAGGAGGAGACAUAAGGUUCACACAAUAGAGAUCAUUUGUUGCUUAGCAACUGGGUGGGACUCAAACCACCUCCAGCAGUUUCUCAGAACUAGGGAGAGAGUAGAACUUAUACACCAAAAACUACAAAUCUGCAAAUAAGAUAAAUGGAAAGCUGGCAGGCUGAGGAUUUCCUUGAUUCUUAGAUAAAAGAACUAAAAACACGAGGAGAUGAUGUAGAUCACAUCUAAGGAACUGGCUGCAAGCUGGAAUCUGGCCUUCUAUAUCCUUCUGAACUGCACAUGUAGCUUAAGGCUGAGUAUUAAACAGAAUGAUCAAACAGUA